GCGCGUUCGGCAAUAGCAUCCGAGAGCGGACGGAUAUUUUAUCCACGUGACCACAGAUAUGUCGGAUUUUACAGAUUUAUCUGUAAUAAACGAACGGUACAGAGCUUCCUGAGCUUCAGCUGUUAUGUCAGUUCUUUGAUAUACGCAUGUGGCGCCCUUCGUGGCUAAAUGAAAUGAAAUCAUUAGUAAAACAUAAUCAAUAUUCAUAAUAUACACUUUUACUGUCUUGCCUGCUGAAGAGGCGUUAGAAAUUUAUGCUUUUUUUAACUAUACUAAGAAGUUUUGAGUUGAUGUUGUUUUCAAUAUUGAAAAAUAGGGAAAAAUUCUGAAGAAGUAUAAAAAAACGGAUACCUAAUUCCUCU